GUAUGUUCUCAUGAUAAACUAACUCUAACUCUGUUGAUGGAGGUCAAGGCUGCAGCGUCUAAAGAGAAGUACAUGAUAAACUGACUCUAACUCUGUUGUGGAAACUUCACACCUCUCUGUUGCUGAUACUGUUGGAGGUCAAGGCUGCAGCGUCUAAAGAUAAGUGUGUUGGUGUGAAAACGGAAGGGGGGAGAGAGAAGAUAAGAGAAAUGAGAAGUAAAGAGAUGGACCGACAGGGUUGUGGUUAUUCACCGCUGCUGAAGAGAGCAUCUUUUUCCACCCACCAUGACGUUCUGAUGAACAGGGUCACUAGGUAAAGAGAGAGGAGAGAGAGAUGAGUGAGGGACAGAGGAGCUGAUCCAGUCUACUACAGCGAAGACCAUCAACACCACUAGAACAUUUAUACACCCCAACAGGUCUCAGUGUUUAAUGUGUAGUUAGAUACAGUUACACACCCCAAUCUGUCUCUGUGU
rnacentral:lncRNA from 1 species